rnacentral:lncRNA from 1 species
UCAGUUUUCAGGCGGUGAGCUCCUCUUCCUUGUGGGUCUCGAUGACGAGGUCCGACUGCGGGUAGGCGGCGCAGGUGAGCACCCACCCGGCGGCGACCUGGUCGUCGUCCAGGAAGCUCUGGUCCGACUGGUCCACCUCGCCGGAGACCACCUUGCCGGCGCACGACGAGCAGGAACCAGCCCGGCACGAGUAGGGCAGGUCGAUGCCUUCUUCCUCGGCGUGGUCCAGGAUGUACACGUCGUCGGGGACCUCCAGAUCCACCUCCCCCUCCGGCGUCACCAGCUUCACCUUGUACGUCGCCUGCGCACGAAGCCUCAUGCCCCUCGCCGACGGCGCCGUCAGCGGGAGCACCACACGGGACGAGACGGCCGAGGAAGGUGGAGGGGCGGCUGUGAAGAGGGAGAGGCUGCUCAGCGCGGUGGUCGCCAUUAUUGCAGCUGUGUAAGCUUUCUUGCGAGGAGGAGGAUGGUGUUGGAGAGUGUAUGCAGUAAGCUCUAGCUGGACUGGAGGGGAUGAUGAAGAAGAAGAAGCAGAGGAUGUCCUAGAGGGUGCCACGUGGCCCCUGCAGGUGCUCAGGCUUAUCCUUAAGCUCGGAGCGACCACGGCCACACGAUGAAGGGAUGGACGUCGAUCCACGAGGGCGUGUGGAGGCCAUGCGAUGUAUCCAAUGCGAUUUUGAUCGAUGCACGGCGGCCGUCACAUUUUGGUUUGAGUCAAGCUAGAGAACCUGAUAUGCUGUAAAUUCUUCUAUCUAUAAAUAUUUCGCGACUGGUUUUAGCGAUAGCGAUCAGUCGAUCGAGUGAGUCUAAAUUUCAGUCAGAAAAGAAAAAAAAUCACAAUGAUUUUAGCGAUCAGUCCGUCAUGUGUGACCGGACGAGAAGCCAAGAAGUACACCAGGUUUCACAUUCACAUCAAAAACAGACAAAAAAACUCGAGAUGGAAGCGAUCGUGCCGAGAGUGUGAGCAAAGAUCGCCUUAGUAGACAGUCAGCGGUCUCUCCUCCUCUUGGUCACGCAAAUGGACUUUAAAUUGAGCAGGUCAUGGAAUCCUUCGCUCGGGAACAAUGAACAUGAAAUGCCUUAAAAUUACAAUGCUCCGACCUUCAGUGCAGCUCACCUUUCGUGAGAAGUAAGGCUCCACCAAUCACCGCUGGCGAUGGCACUAGGCAUAUCAUGUCAAGAACAUGUCGAUGAGGCCGGGGAGAAAUGGCAGGACGGACGUCAUGGAGGAGCAGUGGGUGGCGCUAACCCUAGCAACACAAGCUAGGGACAAGGGCAUGUGUAGGCCAUGCGAUGUAUCCUGCGGGGGAGCGAUGGAUGGCCGGCCGGCCAAUGGGGAUGCAUGGUGGCCACCGCAUUUUGGAUCAGUUGAGUGAAGCCACAGAUCUCAUACACUGUUCUGUAAAAAUCUUCUAACCAGAAAUAUUGUUUCGACCGGUGUUAGCGAGAGCGAUCAGUCGACCGAGUGAGUCUAAUUUCAUACAGAGAAUUAUGCAGUUGUUUUUAGCGAGCAAUCAGUCCAUCGUGGCGAUUGGAUGAGAAACAAAGGAGUACAUUGGGCACAAGGUUUGACGUCUAGAUCAGAAACAAUAAAAAAACAUUGAGGUGGAAGCGAUUGGUCUCUCCUCCUCUUAGUUGCACAAGGACUUUAAAUUGAGCAAGCCUUUCAAUGAACAUGAAAUGCCUCGGAAUCACGAUGCUCCUACCUUAAGCGAGAAGCAGCACCAAUCAUUGCUGGCACUGGGUAGAUUGUGUCCAGAACAUGUCCACAAGGCCUAGGAGAAAUGGCAGGCUGGGCAUAAUGGAGGAGUAGUGGCCGGCGCUAACCCUAGCAGCACGUGCAAGGGGAAAGGGUCCGCGGCGGGGAUGCAUGUGGCGUAAGUCGACGGGUCGAGAGAUAUGCGAAGAAAACCUUAAGGAGCACUGAUCAAUCUAGGGAAACCAUGCGGGAUGCCAAUCGAUUCAUAAAAAAAAACGUGUGGUGGGUGCCGAUAGAACUAGGGUAAACCGUGCGGGAGGGUUGCCAAUCAAUCUAGGAAAAAUUGUAGCGGGAAGCAUGCGAGGGGUUCGGAACGAUGUAGAAAAAGCCAUGUUUUUUUUCUGAAAAAAGAAGAGGGGAUAAGCUCAUUGUACCAAGAGAAAAUUGAACUCGCAUCACUAACUCGCAUCACUACUUCGUAGCUAGUAAAAAUACCAUCAUUGCAGAGACACAUCACACACCUGCUGGCUCAACCAUCAAAUCCAUUAAUUUCAGUACGUACAUAAAUACUAGCAGCAGCAGCAGUAAUUUGACCGUAUGGAUCGAUCUCAGGCAGGGGUAGUACAAAAAAGAGGAACACAUAAUAUUACUUGAGCAUUUCAUUCAAGCUCGCUCGCACAGCAGCAACCAAAUCGAUGCACGAUAAGAUCCAUGGAGCUUAGAGAGAUUAUGAUAUCAUCAGACACUCUUGCAAAAGCUGAAGACUAAAAACUUAGGCGGUGAGCUCUUCUUCCUUGUGCGUCUCGAUGACGAGGUCGGACUUGGGGUAUGCGUGGCAGGUGAGCACCCACCCGGCCUCCAUCUGGUCGUCGUCGAGGAAGCUCUGGUCCGACUGGUCCACCUCGCCGGAGAUCACCUUGCCGGCGCACGACGAGCACGACCCGGCCCUGCACGAGUAGGGCAGGUCGAUCCCUUCUUCCUCGAAGUGGUCAAGGAUGUACACGUCGUCGGGGACCUCCAUCUCCACCUCCCCCUCCGGCGUCACCAGCUUCACCUUGUACGUCGCCUGAGCACGGAGCCGGAUGGCCCUCGCCGACGGCGUCAGGGGAAGCGCCACGCGGGAUGGGGCGACGAUUGGGGACGGCGCGGGGGCGGCGGAUGUGAAGAGGGAGAAGGGCGCGCGGAGGCUGCUCAGGGCGGUCGCCAUUGCUGCUGAGAGCUGAGAGCUUGCUUGCUUGCUUGUGUGGUGUGAGGAAGAAGAAGGAGGAUGAGCUAGGGGAUGGAUGAAGAGGGGGGAUAAGUAAGUAAAGGGGGGGGCUGUGUGCCACGUGGCGGGACGUGGGUGGGGGGCUUAUCUUGGAGCGAGGAGCGUCACACGAUGCUCAUCCUCGUCGGCGCCGGGGGGCGUGUGGCUGCCCGGCGACAUCCCGUGAUCUCUCUCGCUUUCUCUUUUUUUUUUGACAAAGAAGGCAGCCUAGUUUCUGCUGGGCCUUUUCCGGCCCAAUUACUAACUAACUACUUCGGUUGCUCGGCUUUCCUUCCAGGCCCGCUAAGCGAAGCCGACGGCAGAUGCAGCCGUGGGCUGGCCGGGGAAUAUGCCGAGUUUUGGGCGGGUUAUUUUUUUUUCCUUUGAUGCGAAUAUGCCUUUUUUUUUUCUUGCAACAAGUCUGAACUUUUAUUUCUACGGACAAGUCUUGUAACUAGUACACGCGGAGAGACUUUUUUGAGUUUUGACGCGAGUUUCUGUUUGACUGACUUGUUCUCUGCGUCCAUUCGAUUUAAUUUAUCGAGACUUUUUCUGUGACAGCUAAAUAUCGAGACUUUGUUGCGGGGUUCUUUUUCGUACCAUUGCUUUCCACGCAUUUAUUAAUUUAUGUGAAUGGAGAAAACGUCUUAAAUCUAUAAUAUCUAUAAAGUUGAUCUUCACUAUUUUUGUUUGCAAGCUUGACAUAUAAGAUGUCUACAUCAUACGCAUGCAUAGUCUCCACAUCACCAUCCACAUCAUGUGUUGUAAAUCACUAGGAAUCCAUUUUGGUGGUCUUUUUGAAUGUCAUAUUUUGAUACUUAGGAUUGUCAACUUAACGUUCUAUAUAAAUAUUUCGCCAAAUACACAUAUUUUCAUGACAUUAUCAAUCUUUUUAAGAUCUGCAAACACACAUAUUUUGAUGUUCAUGUACAUCAAAAUUAUUCCUAUUGUUUUGCUCCAUAGGUGUUAUGAAUGAUAAAAUCAUUUUGUCCUACAAUAUUUAUAUUUCUUUUGCAUUUAACCAUAUUAUUAUCAUGUGUUCCUAACGUCAUAUCCAGAUGUGCAUCUAGAACUUUCCGCGGCAACGCGCGGGGAUCACCUAGUUAUUACUGUUUGCAAUCCAUAUAUAAAGCGAAGAUAUAUAAAGCAAAAAAAAAACAUCACCUAGUUAUUACUGUUUGCGGGGAUCCACACCGUAAUAAUAACCUAAACGAACAUAUAUAACAAUCCAUGUGGGCAGAAAAAAACAUACAUGAGACAUAUAUAAAGCGACGUCAUCAGCUAUCUACUCCAAUUAUCCAACUGUUAAUCUGCUACCUAGAUCGCUUACAUAUGCAGGCCGUUGCAUGUGCCGUGCUAUAUCACGAAGAUCCAAGACAUAAUACGUGAUCUAGACAGACAUGUAGCUGCUCUCUGUCCUUUCUUACUGAUCAAGGAACAUUUAUAAAAUUAAAAUGUUCUCAUCAGUUCCUGCUGAUUGUCUUGAGACAUUAGCAACCGGUUAAUGAUAAAGAAUGGAAAUCAACGGGGGUCGUCAUCAGAUGCAGAAUCUCUUGUAUGCUUAGCUUGUGGAUUACUACUGUAAUAAAUGCGCGUGGCGUAAAGUUUGCACCAAAUCACACAGCGACAAACGGUCAGACAUUGCGUACAUGCAUCCAUGUAUCCCUUCAUUUGACCACAUAAAGCAGUAUUACCUCCGUCCAAUAAUAACGGGGUGUAUUAGCUUUCCUUUGAUCUAUGGUUUGACCACAAAUUAUUCUAAUAAUAUAUAAUUAUAAGGCGUAAGUUGAUAUCCAUUAUAUUUCUAUUCAACGAUAUUUGAUUAUGGUUAUGACUUUGAUCACAUUAGUCACAUAUUAAUAGAGUAAUUUGUGAUCAAAGGCGAAGUACUACAACAGCUAAUACACACUUAUGUUUAAUUAAUUAAAACAGACUUGAUGCUUCCCCUCUACACUUUUCCCCCUGAUUAGUUCCAGCUGCUCCUUCCGAGUAAUUCAAAUACAUCUGCUGUAGUUACCGUUCCUCGCUAUUUGGAUUGAUCGAUUGACUGAUUGAUUAAGGUGUGUGCACGUAAGAAGGUCAAUUAAUUGAUUAACUGACUAAGAUCCGUGUGUUUUGGUCUAGCCAUGCAUGAUUUUCACUUUGCUUGCAAGCAAGCAGAUAGCUAGCUAGGCAGUAUUUCGUGCCUCCCAUGCCAUGCAUCUUGGUUUUCCCAGGCCAAAAAACUGUCUGUCUGUCCGUCUGUCAGGCAGCAAGGGGAAUGGUCGAAUAUUGAACCGGUCAUGCACGGGGUAACUGACGACGCUAGAACACGCAGUAUAUCGUACCACGCACGUCUGCUUCUUCUAUUUUGACAAAAAAUAGCAAAGAUAUUUCUUGUUUUUCCCCUCUUCUCAUUCAUGUUUUCUUGGCAUGCUCUUUCUUUUGGUAUGUGGCAAUAAUGAGCUUAUCCGAGUUAGGAUAAGGUUAGCACAGCCACAAUAUUAAUCAAUACUAUUAGUAUAUCGUCUGGUAGUAAUGUGUUGUUAAGUCAUGAUGGUGGAGAACAACAACACACGCUUUGUUAGUUAGAAUGGCCAGCCAGCUAGCUCAGUUGAAUGCCCUUCAAUCUAUGAUUGAUUUGCGUAUGCAUAUUUCUGUUGAAGCCGUCAUAUAUAUGGCGUGGCAGCUGCAUAUGCAAGAGCUAGUGUCCAACAAACAAGAACCAACCAGACCCAAAGCGUGUCGGCGCCGAUAGCCCGUUCUGCCGUUCCCUUGCGUGGCACGACACGGUAACCAAUCAAAAUCCAUAUCAUUUUUUCCUUUCUCAUAAAAAAUGUCUAGUACAGUCGCAAAAAAAAUAAAUGUUUAGUGCUAUAUACUCCUACUCCUUCCUAAAUAUCAUAAGUUUUUCCUACUAAGUUAUAGUUUUGUCUGUCUUAAAUCAAACUUCUUCAAGUUAUAUAUCUUCAUAGUAUGUCCAUUUAAUAUUGUUGAUCUCAGUAGAUUUUAUUUAACUUAGAACGACACGGACACAAUUUCUUAUACUCGUAGUACUAGUACUAUUUGGGAACGAAGCUGGUACUUAGAGUAUUUUUUUUUCGUGAUUCAAGUAUUUUUAUUGAGUGCCUUAAUGAACUCCAUUUUUCAUUUUCGACUCCGAUGUGGCAUGGGCUUUGCCGCAAGAAAAAAAAACAUCGAAAAAAUGGAAAAAAAGAAAGGAAAAGGAAACGGUAAAGUGUGAAAAGGUUUUAAAAAUGCCAGCGUGGGGUCCACCCAGUUUGAGGUUGACGACGACAAGUAGUUGCAGCAGCAGAGGAGUAUUUCUUUCUCCCUUCCGUGCGCCCAAAUUUCUCCUCUCCCCCCUUCCUUCCUGCUCUCUCUUCUUCGCCAUUCGGGACCUCUUUCUUCUCCAAUCUCGCUACUAACUCCUCUCCGAUCAACCGGUCCAGAGACGGAGGCGCAGCAGACGCACCGAGGUAACACGGAGAUCCAUCCCGCCCAACCAUCUUCUCCUGCCCCCCCUCUCAUGAUUUCUGGUGUUUCUGUUGGUUGUUCUUGUUAUGGGAUUGGAUUCGGUUGGAGCUUGGAAGAACACGCGCGCCGUACAUGCAUUCGGCAACGACAGCGGGGGUUUAUUUCCGAUUUCAAGACCCAAGAACGGAUUUUUGGGACGGAUUUGGGGAUUGGGAUGUUUCUGUCUUCCGUGCCGUCGACUCCCGCCCACCUCUGUUGACUUGGACCUCCGGCCCUUUAAUUUUUUUAUUUUAGGAUUUUUGUUCGGGGGAUUUGUUCUUGUAGUAGUACUAGCUCUUUAUUUUUUUUGGAUCAUUGGGAUUUGGAAGGGACAGCCUGGCCUUCGGGUUGAUCGCCAACGCCCCCGCCUUCGAUUUCACCAACCUUCUUCUUCUUGUUGGUGCGAUUCAAGUUUCAGGCUCCCGAUUUGCUCAGCGUUUCUGACCAUCUGCGCCUCGAUUUGCUAGGUCAAUGCUUGCUCGAUUCCAACCUUCGUGAGCAGUAGUGAUCAAUGGAUGCAUCCCAUUUUCUUUCUCUUUCAAAUUUGUUGACUUGGGAUUUUACUCUAUCUUUUGUUCUCCUGUCGGUUGGUUGGUUUGCUUGUAUUGACCCAGUAAUGGAUGGAUACUAAUGGCGUGCUGCUUGGCUGAACUGGUCAGGCGAAGGCGACCGCCAACCACCCCGGAGGAGAUCUGAGACCCGACCGACCGCCGCCUGCUGGAGGGGGAAGCUGGUGGAGCAGCAGGAAGGGCCGUAUGCUUGUCGCAGGCCAUGUGCCCGGACAUGAAUCCGCGCCAUACAGCAAGGUAGUCUAGUGUUUGAUUCCAGGAAUAUCGCCAUACUGUGUUAUGAAUUUUGUGUCCCAAUUCAUAGUCAUAGGUUCCAUGGGAUGCUCAGGAAGGGCUCUGUAUCAAUGAAAUUUCCUGUAUCAAUAAGCCAAUUGUAGUCUCGGACACCUGGUAUAUGCAGAACCAGAAACUUGCUUAGCCUUUAAUUCAUUAGUGUCGUCUGUUAAACAAUGGAAUGGAAGUUCCUUUAGUUUUCUGGUUUCUGGUCUUGCACGCCUGAAACGUCGGUCAACUCUUCGACACUAACCUGAUGCUGUGUUUGGGUAAACCUGAAUGAAGAUAUUUUGUUUAUUUCUCCGGUCACCUAACCCUGUGGAUAUUUGAUUUUGGACAACCUGGUUUGGUAGAGAAGUGCCCUUGAGGCAAGGGAACUUCCUCAUCAGAUAUUUGUGUCUUUGACUGUGUCUGUGUUUUCUAAAUCCCAUUCUGACCCGGUCUUCUUUUCGUACUGGCAGUCAAGUUGAAUCAGAGGUUCUAGACGGUAAUCGUAACCAUCACAGCCAGCUUGAUGCUGAUCAUCUUGUACAAAUUGGGAGGAGUCCUAUCAAGCGUGGUAGCAACAAUCUGUCCACAGACGACAAUUUCUCCUCGAGUGCCUCUUUGCAUAAACAUGAACAUGUGAGCUCCGAUCCAUCGGCCCCUAAGGCCGAUGACCGCUCAAUUAAGUCUGGUGAUGAUUCUGAUGGGGCUGAGAGUACCAAUGGCAAAAGCAACAAUACGGACUCCCCAGGUACUGAAAAUGAUAGCAUCUGGAUACCACCUGAAGCUGCAGACAAGGGAGAUGAGACCGAGAGUAACAUUGCUUAUGAUGACGACGAUGACGAUUAUGGUGAUGGAAUCAAGUGGGGCCAGUCAAGUUUCCCAGCCGCUGGUGAGGAACACGAGGCCAGCCCCAAUCCUAAGGAUGAGCGAGAAAAUGCAAUGUUGGAAGCUAUGAAUGGACAACUCAAGAUACUCGUGAGUCGGUUUUUGGCCUCUGCUGGUAUCCCCUUUGGAAAAGGAGAGAGUAGUGAGAGUUGGCUCGAUAUUGUGACCUCCCUGUCGUGGGAAGCUGCACUACUUAUCAAACCUGAUUCUACCAUCGGAAAGGAAAUGGACCCUGGCUCUUAUAUCAAGGUCAAAUGUGUAGCAUCUGGUACUCGCUGGCAAAGGUGACACAUUUGUUCACUUAAAGGUUUUUUAAAAUAUAAUGUAUUCUAUCUGCGUGUUUGGUUAUACACGUUCACUUCAUAACCUUGACUGCAGUGAGGUGAUCAAGGGAUUAGUCUUCAAGAAGAACACUGCUCAUAAGCACAUGCCGACCAGUUGUCACAAUCCUAGGCUGCUACUACUGGAAGGAGUCCUGGGGCACUCUGAUGUUGGUUUAUCAUCGUUUAAUUCAAUGAAUCAGGUUGGUCCUUUCAUAUACAUAUGCACAUUGAAUUGUUUAUAGUAAACGCCGUUUAUUUUUGUUGGAUAGAAGAUUAAGACAUCUGUUCCGUGCCUUUAACAAUUAGGAAAAGGACCAUCUGGAGAGGACUAUAAGUAAGGUGAUUGAUAUAUGCAGUCCCAAUGUUAUCAUGGUUGAGAAAACUGUUUCACGAGACAUACAAGAACUUCUAUUAAGACAAGGGUGUACACUAAUUCUUGAUAUGAAGCUCAGCCGGUUGCAAAGAAUUGCACGCUGUACGGGUUCUCCUAUAAUAUCAUUUCCAGAAGUUCUGGAUAAACCGAAGCUGAAGCAGUGUGACUACUUCCAUAUUGAAAAAUUCAUUGAAGAACACAACGAUGCCAGUGAAGGUGGGAAAAGACUGUCUAAAACAUUAAUGUUCUUGGAAGGAUUUCCCAGGCCAUUGGGUUGCACGGUAUGUCUACCUAACUAGUAUUACAUGUAUGAUGCAUUUUAUACAUUUUCAGUUCCAUUCUUAUUUUUUCCCUAAGAUUGUUUAUUUUCCUCCAAAAGCAAAAUAAAUAAACUAUGCCACGGAGUAUUUUUCCUAUGUCUUUUCUUCCCUGAAAUCUCCCCAACCAAAGCAUCCCUUUGUAUGGAAGUGAAAUCCAUAACCAGAAGUUGUUCCAGCUUACUGUGGACAUGUCUAUUACUUCGACCAGUUAUUACUUCUUAAUAGCUGGCUUGUAGACUGUAAUUAAACAUCUUCUCUAUUCGAGUGGUGUGUGGCCAUAAAAUUUUACGGUUUGACUAAUAAGGCAGAGAACCAAGGUGAUUACAACUUGGCAGGAGCUAGAUACACUUAUGGUGCUUUAAAGUAACAAACCUGGUUUUGUUUGUGGUGAGAUCCAUAGUAGUGGUAUGUGCUUUUAUCAAUUAUUACGAUGAGUGAAUACCAAUUGAUAGUGAUAUAUUCCUGCAUAUUAGUUACAUUCCACUGAACAAAUAGUAAGUGACAGACCAAAUUGUGUUUCAUGGAUUGUUAAAUUAUCUGAGUGACAAUGGUUCCUUUCUCAUCCAGAUACUGCUCCGUGGAGCAAAUACUGAAGAAUUGAAGAAAGUCAAGCAAGUCAUGCACUACACAGUCUUUGCAGCAUACCACUUGAUCCUCGAAACGUCUUUCUUUGAAGAUCAGCGGGUAUUCUUAAAUGAUAAAAAUGUUUCCAAAGAAAAUUAUGUCACCGCUAUGGUAGGGCCUUCAGCAAUUGGUGAUGAUACGGCUGUUCUGGGUUGUGCCAUCCCUCCUUCACAUGAUGAUUCUCCAGCACUUAAAUUAUACCAUGCCACUUCUAAUAUCUAUGCGGAUGGGAAGAAAUCUCUCAGUUAUACAAAUGUAGAUGCUCCAGUUUCAAUAACAAACAGCUCUUUGGAUGAACUUGGAGAAGGUGCAAAUGUCCGGCAUAGCUCAACAUCACCCCUUCACACUGGAAGGCUACCACCACCAGUAUCAGGACCAUUAAGAAAAUUUGCUGACAAGUUACAUCGUCAUAAUAUUUAUUUACCUGUCACAUCAUUCCAAGAAACAACUGAUAAUAAAAUAGAAGGCAGGGUUGAAUCUAGGAAAGAGAUGGUUAGUAAUGGAUUUCAUGUUGGGUCAAAGGUGGAAGAGUCUGCAGCUUCCAGUGAAAUUUUGGAUGACACGAAAGAUCUCUUAAAACAAGAAAGGAUCCAAGAAGUAAUGCCAUCAGGUUCUUCUGGGCAUGGCAAACAUGAGGAAUCAUCCGCUAUGGCUGAAGAUGGGGAACAUCACAGCACCAGUAUCAUCAGCAAUGGGAACAUUUCUAACGAAGAUCAAGCCGAUGAUGCACUUGAUUCUGACAGUAUACUGAUUUUGAUGUCUAGCCAAUGCAUCACAAAGCAGAUUAUAUGUCUCCCGAGCCAACUGUGCCGUAUAAAAUACUACGGGAACUUUGAUUUGUCCUUGGGGCGAUAUUUGCAAGACAUUUUGCAGAAUCAGGUAACAACAGUUUACCACUUCUUCGUUUGUUCACACAUUGUUCUUAUUUACACUGAAUAUUAUAUUUUUGUGCUAGUAAUGUACAUUUUAUUUCGGCUCCAUUGAUACUCUUUUUUGCGAUGUUAUUUGGCUCACUAAUAUUUAUUCGUACUAGAAAGCAAGCUGCUCAUCUUGUCAAGAGCCUCCAGAGGCUCACAUAUAUUCUUACACUCAUCAAAAUGGGAAUUUGACUGUUCAAUCAAAGAAUUUGGUGUCCCAACAUCGCUUACCUGGCGAAUCCGAAGGAAAAAUAUGGAUGUGGACUAGAUGCUUGAGAUGUGAACAUGAACAUGGGACAUCUAAAUCGACUCCUAGAGUGUUAAUAUCAUCUGAAGCGCGCAAUCUCUCUUUUGGGAAAUUCCUGGAACUCAGUUUUUCAAGUCACUCCGCAGCGAGAAGGCUAUCCAUAUGUGGGCAUUUGGUGAACAGGGACUGCUUGCGUUUUUUUGGGUACGCUCGAUGUACUUUUCACAUCAAACAAAAUUAUUUUUUGGCUGCCUUUAGAUGUAACUAUUUCUUUAAUGAUAAUUUCUUUUUCUUACUGACUUCAGGUUGGGCUCCAAAGUUGCAAUGUUCCGCUACUCCUCAGUAGAAAUUUACACUACCUGCAAACCACCACCCACCCUCCACUUCGACAACCCUAGCAGACAGAAUUGGUUUGAAAAAGAGAGGAUACAUGUAUGUCUUAAUACUCUCUACCAUUACCAUCUCAUAGUUGUCUCCAGUACAUGCAUAGUAAUACUUUUUUUUUUGCACUUUCAAAGAUUCUUGCUAGAGGUAUGAAACUUUUUUCUGAGGUAGCAACCUUGCUACAACUCUUGAAGAAUCAGCAUCAUGAUGUGACAGCAACCAGUUGUGGCACAUUUGACCCUGUUAAGGACUUCUCUGAACUCGAAGAGUUGUUGAUGAAAGAAAAGGCCGAUUUUGAGGUAGGCAUCCUUGUCUUAAUUUCUUUUAGACUGGAACUUUGUAUGCCAAUGAAUUUGUUAUGUUUAAUUUAUAUUUAUGGGUUACUAUCUUUAUUUUUAUGCAGGAUUCAUUAGUAAAGACAAUCAACCAAAAUGGGAGAUCAUCCUCAUCUGUGCAUGAGCUUCUUAAUAUAAAUUGGUCUUACCAGGAUGUUCUACUUGAACUUUAUGUAUGGGACCGUCGGCUCGACGAACUUUCUAUGUGUAAAUCUGCUGGGCAAGGGAGUGUUGGUAAUAGCAAUAAUCCUAGCGGAACUGCAGACAAGAUUUCUGGGGCCAACUACGAGAUUGACAAGAAAAUUGGUGAACUGACGUGUGAUAGAACUAUGACAGCUGUGAGGUCAGAUGGUACCACUGAUUGCACUGAUUGCACAAGUAACAAUAUUCCCAUUGACCAUCAAUCUGGUGAGACCGCAGCACACUUGCUUGAUGAUAGUCAGGGAGCUGGCAACUCUGAACCUUCUUGCAGUGAAGGUAGUAAAGAUGAAGGAUCUCGAUCUCUCAUUGCUCCUGAUCAAGUAGAGGUAGAGAGCACGCCACAAAACCAAAAAGUACCUUCACUUGAAGUUUCAAGUCAUACAGAGGUCCAGGGUAACGGGGUAGUUGCACAUCCAGUUUCCAAGGAACAAGAGCCUUCAAGCACUCUCCAGAAGUUCAGAAGUACUGAUUGGGAUGACAGUGAUAGAUGGAUUUGGAGUUCAUUUUGUGAGUCUCAACUGGCUUACAGGAAGGACAUUCAAAUGGGAUGUUUGGAGAAAUUUUAUCUUGUUAACCAUUACUCCCCAUCUCACCUCUCCCCCUUGUUUGAAAAACAUGAGGAGGUGGACACUCCUCAGUUCACAGUUGGCCCCGGUGGUAAUAUUUUAUGUGUAUUGGAGCAUGAGGUAUCUAGUAUAAUAGCUCGUGCUCUCGCCAUAUCUGAGGAACGUAGGCAGGAUACCAUAGUCGAGAACGAGACGGGGGAGGGCAGGGUGGAGCAUGGUAAAACGAUGGAGAAAUCCUAUAGCUUUUUCUCUGAAGGUUCUUUUAGCUCGUCACCAUGGUCAUCUAUUGGAUCAUUAGAUUCUGAAGCAAGCUUUUCAUCUUCUAUUUCGUCAUAUCCAUCUGACGACCUCUCUGGUUAUGAUACCUUGCCUUUAUUGUCCUUGGUACACCCAGAAAUCACUGUGAACGGAAAAGUAACUCUCAGAGGCAAAUAUUCGGUUACUAGUAUAUAUUCGAACCAAUUCUACCUUCUUCGAAAGAAGUGCUGCCCAUCUGAGCUUGCAUAUAUUACUUCCUUAAGCCGCUGUAAGAAGUGGGACGCUCAAGGUGGAAAGAGUAAGGCUUUAUUUGCAAAGACAUUGGAUGACAGGUUCAUCAUAAAGCAAAUCAAGAAAACAGAGUUUGAGUCCUUCAUAACAUUUGCCCCUGAUUACUUCAAGCAUGCUUACCAUUCUCUAGACACUGGCAGCCAAACUUGCCUUGCCAAAAUAUUAGGAAUCUAUCAGGUAGGUUUUUUUGACAACUGAUUUCUAUUCGAUUUAUUUCCUGACUUCUAUUGGGUUUUCAUAUGACUUGUUGUUUCAGGUCAAGCAAAUAAGGCAUGGCAAAGAGAUCAAAAUGGAUCUGAUGGUGAUGGAAAAUCUCAUGUUUGGGCACAAUAUUUCACGAAUUUAUGACCUUAAAGGUGCUAUUUUUUCACGACACAUCGCCAAAUCAAAUGACCCUGACACUGUUUACUUGGAUCAAAACUAUGUUGAGGACAUGCGUGUAUCUCCGAUCUAUAUUGGUGGAAGAACGAAGCAUCUUUUGCAGCGUGCAAUCUGGAAUGACACAUCAUUCCUCACUGUAUGUAUAAUGCAUAUCCUAUAUCUGCAGAUAAUCAUGUUUUCAAAUAAAUAUAUGUCCUAACAAAAUUAUUGUACUUGCAGUCAGUUAACGUUAUGGACUAUUCUCUGCUUGUGGGAGUGGACAAAGAAAAGAAUGAACUUGUGUUUGGCAUCAUUGAUUAUUUGAGGCAAUAUACUUGGGACAAACAGCUGGAGACAUGGGUCAAGAGUUCUUUGGUUCGAAAAAAUGUUUCACCGACUGUAAUUUCACCCAAGGAUUACAAGAAAAGGUUUAGAAAGUUCAUGGCCAAGUACUUCCUCACAGUUCCGGAUACUUGGAGUCCCGAGAAUUCUUCUGGGCCAUACAAAUCCUUUGGCCAUAGCAAUAGCAAGUUGGUAGAAGCCGAUAAUGAUGACAACCUGCUUCAGCAUCCAAUUGAAGCUGAGGCAUGUGUCUAGUUCUGUUCAGGCUGGCAUGUGUCUAGGCUAUUCAGGACUCCUCUGACAGUGCUGUUGAAGCCUAUCCAGUCGUCGUCGUUGUUGUUUCUUUGGCUUGUUUUCGCUUUGUAAAAUUGUGUACAUAUGAGGGCCUCACAAUUGACCUUUCCAGAAGUUUGCACCUUUUAGGCAGAUUACUGGGCAAGUGAGGCCCACAGUACAUGUACCUAUACAAAUGUAAAUUGUUGAUUUCACAAUUAUUAUAGUGAAAUUUACAAAAUUGGUAUGAUUUUUUUGGGAUCUACUAGGCUGAAGCCUUUUCUACUUGCUUAAUUAUUUCUUAUAAUGCCUGACACGGCUAACCGUCCAUGUUGGACUUCUGAUCUCUGUUCAAAUUUGAUCAGUUUGAUCCGUAUUUGACUUUCAUUACUCCGCUAUAGUUACAUUCAUGGAAAUGGCCAAUUUAAUGCCUCUUGAUCUUACUGCACACCUUAUGAAGAACAUUUUGUUGUCAGAUGGACAUUGUCUAUUUUGUUGUGUGCACCCAGUCACUACAAUUUUGCAGAUCUGCUGGUAUGAUAUGUACUGCUUACUUUCUUUCAUCAAUCAGUUCCACGUAUUAUUUAAAAUGAGUGAAAUCAAGUUAAACUUGUUUGUUCCAAGUUUGUUCCUUGAAUUUUGUUGUAAUAUGUGUUUAUGCCCCAAUCUCUCUUAUGAUAUCAAGAAACAGAAUAUAAUUUGAUUCCUGUUUGUUUUCAGGAAAUAACUCACUGGGGAGGACACCACUCUUUAUAAGUCCUGCAUCACAUAGUAGCUGCCUGGUGACAUGCCUCAUCUAUGCAGUUGGUCUAUGACUCUAUGUUCUAUACUUUAUUGCUAUAUAACACUUGAUAUUUUAUAUUCUCAGCUUUGACGAGGCAAAUUGUUAGUAGAUCCUAAAAUUAACUAUUUAUUUAAUUUACACAGUACACACUUUGCUGAUAAGGGAUGCUCCAAAGUAAUGCUCCAGUUCCUUUUCUAGAACCACUGGUUAUUUAAAUUGGUGCAUUUUCAGGAGAAUUAUCUAGCAUCCUGUAAUGCAAUUUCUGAUUGAUCAGAUAAUUGAUGGAAAGAACUUUCUGUGUAUUCACUUAGCAGUCUGGCUGAUACUUAACAUCUACUAGUGUGUGCAAUCCAUAGUCUGGACCAUGAACAUCGGCAGGAAGGGAUUCCUGCAAAUGAACAUGUGAGACCUCGGUGAGUUAGUUCAUUUUAAGCUUUCUUAUUUUCUACCCUUGCAAAACUUUGUUGACUAAUCCACAUAACCCUUUGUUGAACUUUAUAGUGCGUAGCACAUUUUUCUGCAGCUAUAAUCUUAUCAUACUAUCUUAUAAAAAUUCCUGAUGAAUGUUAAACAUGUGUUUUUAUCAUUUGGCUGCAUUGGUGGAAUGGUAGAUAGUAACAGUAUACAUUUCCAAGAAAUGUGGUAUUUGAAUAUAGUCCCAUUGAUCUUCCCAAAGAGUUGCAGUGUGUGCGUGCUUCUUUCCGAGAGUCCUAUAUUUGCAUUUAUUUUUCACUGAUUGUUUCAGUGAGUAUGAAACUAUGAAUUCAUAUGCAGUGUCGCUUGUGAAGUUGGCUUUGCAGCAUUUAUCUCAAGACAUUCCUUUUUCCCUGUCAUUUUAUUACUAACGCCGUCCAAACAUAACGAGCACAAUGCAAAACCACCUUCGCCCACUUUUCCAAUUGGAGUUGCUAUUUGUGUCUUAAUACAAUUCUUUUUUUGCUUCCAAAAUGGCACAUAUACUGUUGUUAUAUAUGUGUGUGUUCAUGCUAAACUUUCUAGCUCAUGCCUUGUGAUCAGGAGAUUAUGUGUUGUCACAAUGUGCUUGAGAGACAUUCUUGGGCAUGUCGUGCCACUUGCAUCUUUGUUUUCAUGACUGAUGAAUACACUGGGUUACGUGACAGAUGAACUCAUGUUAGUUUUUCGAGCAGAGUCUACCUCUUGCUCAUUUGCGAGCAGUACUGAUUUGAAUAAAUGAUAGUACAGUACCUCAGAAGUCAGAGCACUGCUUGGAACAGGCGGUAAUUUGCUUCAACUGUAAUCUACACAUAUAGUCACAUCCGCUGAAUCUUACAUAGUUAACUUUUAAACAUGAAUAUAAGAAAUUGUUGACACUUCCUUCCCUAUAGUAGCAAGAGGCAGUAGUCUGCUAUUGUACCAAUCAUCAGUCAAGGAGGUAAUCCACAAGAAUGGGGUUGGCAUGCAUCUCUUUUCUCCUUUUCACUUUUGCAGGAGGGCAUCAAAUACAUUGGCAGUAAGAGUAUGACCAGAGGGAGGACUUUUAGAUCAUUGCAGAGUGGCUCAUCAUGAUUGCGUGGAUUCUAUGCAAGUCUUGUCAUUGAGAGGGAGGUUACAAAAGGAUUGUCUGGAGAAGGUGAUAAUCUGUGUAAUGAUGCUGAUCCUAACAUCACUGAUUCAUAUAGAUUGGCACACCAUAUUUUUUUUGAAAGAGAGAGAUUGGCUCACUAUAUUUUGAAUUCUGGAUUUAGGAUUGUAAUAAGGAAUGAGUUUUCUCUCGUACAUCUUUGAGAUUUCAUUAAUCAUUUUUUUUUGCAGUGCUACUCUCAGUCUGUUUGAAGUUCCCAUUAACUGCCGAUUUUGAACAGUAAGCAUUCAUCCUAGGUGCUAAUUUUAUUACACUGCACUGCAAACUCUUUCAAUAGCUCUUUCAAUAGCUGAAUGCUUUGUAGGAAUAAUGUCGCAUUAGAUUUUUCUCAUUUCAUUUUUGAAUUUUUUUUGUUUAGUAGCUAAUGAUGAAUUGAUCAAAUCUGAAGAGAGAACUGUGGCAUGGCACUGAUGUUUUCUUGGUUGCAGAUCCUGCUUUAGCAAAAAGCAGUUGGUGUCGCCAUUUCAGUAUAAGGGAUUCGAUUUGGUCGAUUUAUGCUCAGCUUUUUCCUGGUACUGGCAGAAGCUGCCUGAACCCCAAAGUAUGGAGCAUGGAUUAUGCUGCUGCUUACCAUCAUUUCUCUACUGUAUAACCCUGUAAAGCAGCUCAAAUCAAUCAAUUUUGCAUUGCAGCAGUUGAGGGCAUUCUCCUUUUUCCUGGAACCGAUGCCUUCGAGUUCAAGGUGAUCAUCAUGUCCCAAUUCCAGAAGGCGAUCUCAUGAUUCUACAACCAAAACGAUGACUGCUGUCGGAGAUCAUAUGGAGAAUCAUGUCAGGUAACUCGUUUUUUUUUUCAAAGCCACACUAAGGUGUGUAUUGUCCCUAAUUCCUUGCCUUGUCAUCUUCUCUAUUUGUAGUAAAAUAAUCAAUCUUUACUCUGCCAGUCGCCAUGGCAACUAGUGGAGUGAUCAAUGAUAAGGAAGGUGAUUAGCCUACCACCAAAGAACAAAAAGAAGACGCAAAAGAUGACAAGCACAAGAGUUCAUUUUAACACCCCUAGUUGCACCCUUUUUGUCUCUGUCCAACAAGCUGCCCACAUCUCCACAGCACUUUUCCAGUUACAGAAAAGGGCAAAGAGUCGCUUCCCUUUUCCAAUGCAGAUUCUUCCUUUCACUAUCAACCAUUAUAUCAUUCAUCCAUGGAAGAAACUCCGCCUAGAUCAAUGCAUUAAAAAUUACUACACAUAUUCUGAUUCUGAUGCUCAUAAUAGGUAGGCCUAAGCACAAACUGCCUGCCAUCACCAUUGCUGCUUAAAGAAGACACGAUGCAAAGAUGAUAGACACACACACUAGCUGGCUAGCUGCUAUGGUAGCUAGAGAGAGUAGCUAGAUUACCCAAUCACAAAAGCAAAAAACACCUACAUUUUUCUUAAAAUUGUUAGCCUAGUUGUACUAUCUACCAUGCCCUGUUUGUUUCUGCUAAUAGCUGCUGCAAACUCCGAUCAGCUUCAGCGAUGGCUGCACAGGUCAGACAGCAUCUUCCUGCCUUCCACAAUCUCAUCAAAGAAGUCAUCCAGUUCGCCGACGACACUCUCCGCACCUGACUGCAGCACCCCAACCCAGCCUUUGAUGAUCUCCACCCUCUCGGCGAUCUCACCGGGGUCGGCAUACCCUGUGGCGAUGACCCUGUCGAACUCUGCCUUGAGGCUCUCGAUGCCGGCCCUGGCCUGCCGGAACUCGUACAUCAUGACGCCAGAGCCAGAGUGCUGCCCGGCUACUGCCUCCAUCUCCUCGGCGACGCGCUGGCGCAGGCGCCCCAUGGAGGAGACGUAGCCAGCACCCGUGGCACGGAACAUGGGCGCACAGCCAAGGUCCGGGAGGCAGGAGACCGUCCCAGAGAUGAGGAUCAUGAGGAGGAAGGAGCUGGCGUUGCGCAGCGCGUAGAGCACGCCCCGGAAACCGUUGAAGGCGUUGAGCUUGAACUCCACGGGCGACCGGUCGUCGAGCAGCAGCGACGCUGGGUCGAUCCUAGCCUCCGCAAGCGCCCGGUUCUCCUGCUCCAGCCCAACAGCCUGCCGCCUUGGCGCGUUGAUCGCACGCAUCACCUGCCAGCCAGUAGGUGUCAAUGAUGUGAUCAGAAUCAGAUAUAUUCAGAUCAAUAGAGGCAGGGGGGGAUCGUCGAUC